UUUAAAAUGAGAGUUUGAUCCUGGCUCAGGACGAACGCUGGCGGCGUGCCUAAUACAUGCAAGUCGAACGAAACUUUCUUACACCGAAUGCUUGCAUUCACCGUAAGAAGUUGAGUGGCGGACGGGUGAGUAACACGUGGGUAACCUGCCUAAAAGAAGGGGAUAACACUUGGAAACAGGUGCUAAUACCGUAUAUCUCUAAGGAUCGCAUGAUC
rnacentral:rRNA from 1 species